rnacentral:rRNA from 1 species
AGAAUCAACGCUGGCGGCGUGCUUAACACAUGCAAGUCGAGCGGAAAGGCCCUUCGGGGUACUCGAGCGGCGAACGGGUGAGUAACACGUGAGCAACCUGCCCUUAGCUCCGGGAUAGCUCCGGGAAACCGGAAUUAAUACCGGAUACGACCACGGCCGACAUCUGCUGUGGUGGAAAGGAUUCCGGCUAAGGAUGGGCUCGCGGCCUAUCAGCUAGUUGGUGGAGUAACGGCCCACCAAGGCGACGACGGGUA